GGCUACUGCUAUCGGGGUUCGAUUAAGCCAUGCGAGUUAAAUGUUCUUCGUGAACAUAGCGAACUGCUCAGUAACACGUGGAUAACCUACCCUUAGGACCGGAAUAACCCCGGGAAACUGGGGAUAAUACCGGAUAAGCCAUAGACGCUGGAAUGCCCUAUGGUUCAAAGCUCCGGCGCCUAAGGAUGGAUCUGCGGUCUAUCAGGUUGUAGUGGGUGUAACGUACCUACUAGCCGACGACGGAUACGGGUUGUGAGAGCAAGAGCCUGGAGAUGGAUUCUGAGACACGAAUCCAGGCCCUACGGGGUGCAGCAGGCGCGAACACUUUACAAUGCGGGAAACCGCGAUAAGGGAACCCCGAGUGCCAGCAUCAAAUGUUGGCUGUCCAGAUGAUUAAAAAUCAUUUGUUAGCAAGGGCCGGGCAAGACCGGUGCCAGCCGCCGCGGUAACACCGGCGGCCCGAGUGGUAGCCGUUUUUAUUGGGUCUAAAGGGUCCGUAGCCGGCUUGAUAAGUCCUUUGGGAAAUCUGGCAGCUUAACUGUCAGGCUUCUAAGGGAUACUGUCAGGCUUGGGACCGGGAGAGGUAAGGGGUACUCCAGGGGUAGGAGUGAAAUCUUGUAAUCCCUGGGGGACCAUCUGUGGCGAAGGCGCCUUACCAGAACGGGUCCGACGGUGAGGGACGAAAGCUAGGGGAGCAAACCGGAUUAGAUACCCGGGUAGUCCUAGCUGUAAACGAUGCUCGCUAGGUGUCAGACACGGUGCGACCGUGUUUGGUGCCGCAGGGAAGCCGUUAAGCGAGCCACCUGGGAAGUACGGUCGCAAGGCUGAAAC
rnacentral:rRNA from 1 species